UACAGAGGGUGCGAGCGUUAAUCGGAAUUACUGGGCGUAAAGCGUGCGUAGACGGUUAUUUAAGUCGGAUGUGAAAGCCCCGGGCUCAACCUGGGAAUUGCAUUCGAGACUGAAUAGCUAGGGUACGGUAGAGGGAAGUGGAAUUUCCGGUGUAGCGGUGAAAUGCGUAGAUAUCGGAAGGAACAUCAGUGGCGAAAGCGACUUCCUGGACCAGUACCGACGUUCAGGCACGAAAGCGUGGGGAUCAAACAGG
rnacentral:rRNA from 1 species